rnacentral:rRNA from 1 species
GACGAACGCUGGCGGCGUGCCUAAUACAUGCAAGUUGAGCGCUGAAGGUUGGUACUUGUACCAACUGGAUGAGCAGCGAACGGGUGAGUAACGCGUGGGGAAUCUGCCUUUGAGCGGGGGACAACAUUUGGAAACGAAUGCUAAUACCGCAUAAAAACUUUAAACACAAGUUUUAAGUUUGAAAGAUGCAAUUGCAUCACUCAAAGAUGAUCCCGCGUUGUAUUAGCUAGUUGGUGAGGUAAAGGCUCACCAAGGCGAUGAUACAUAGCCGACCUGAGAGGGUGAUCGGCCACAUUGGGACUGAGACACGGCCCAAACUCCUACGGGAGGCAGCAGUAGGGAAUCUUCGGCAAUGGACGAAAGGCUGACCGAGCAACGCCGCGUGAGUGAAGAAGGGUUUCGGAUCGUAAAACUCUGUUGGUAGAGAAGAACGUUGGUGAGAGUGGAAAGCUCAUCAAGUGACGGUAACUACCCAGAAAGGGACGGCUAACUACGUG